rnacentral:rRNA from 1 species
CUACGGGCGGCAGCAGUGAGGAAUAUUGCACAAUGGGGGGAACCCUGAUGCAGCAACGCCGCGUGGAGGAUGACGCAUUUCGGUGUGUAAACUCCUUUUAUAUGUCAAGAAAAUGACGGUAGCAUAUGAAUAAGCACCGGCUAACUCCGUGCCAGCAGCCGCGGUAAUACGGAGGGUGCAAGCGUUACUCGGAAUCACUGGGCGUAAAGGACGCGUAGGCGGGUUGGAAAGUCAGGUGUGAAAUCCUACAGCUUAACUGUAGAACUGCACUUGAAACUUCUAAUCUAGAGUAUGGGAGGGGGGGAUGGAAUUAGUGGUGUAGGGGUAAAAUCCGUAGAUAUCACUAGGAAUACCUAAAGCGAAGGCGAUCUCCUGGAACAUUACUGACGCUAAGGCGUGGAAGCGUGGGGAGCAAACAGGAUUAGAUACCCCAGUAGUC